UUCAUCAUAGUAGAGUUCAAGUUCAAUGUCCCAAUUUAAUGGAGGAGAAUAGUACUGCUCAAGAAAAUCCCAAUUUGACGGAGCAGAAUAGAACUAUUCACGAAAGUCCCAAUUUGAUGGCGCAUAACAGUAUUGCUCAUAGUUAUGAGAGGGGUGAUUCAAAAGAUAACUUGUCCACCAGAGUGCAGUUAAGAAGGAGGAAAAGAAAAUGGUCUUCAUUGGAAGAGGAGACACUAAGAACCGGUGUAAAACCGUAUGUGCUAGCUCUAAACUAGUCAAAUCAAAAUGUUUCAGGGUGAACAGUCUUGGACGUUUGGCGAAGGAAACUGGGGCAACCAUUCCAUUUAAGAGGUGUUCUCCUCUAACAAAUUUCAGGGACAUCAAUCUAAGAUUAUUUGAGAAGCUUGACAUAGAAAGAAACGAUGAUAACAUUUUGAUAUUUUUUUUCACUAGUUCUCAUAUUUUAACUCUCUGCCUAUCAUACCGUUUGCUUUAAUCACCAAAAAACGUAAUUCUUAUAAAAUAACAAACAUUUAUAGAC